UCAAGACAUUCCUGUUGCUGUGAUUGCUAGUAACAGGCCACAUUAUCUUUAUCGUGGCUUACGGUCAAUGUUGUCAGCUCAUGGAGCAAAGAAGGAGUUAUUUACUGUAUUUAUUGAUGGAUUCUUUGAAGAACCAGCUGCUGUGGCAAGGCUAUAUGAUGUAAAAGUCGUACAGCAUAUUCCUAUUAGCAGUAAGAACGCUAGAAUAUCACAGCAUUACAAGCGAACAUUGACAGAGACGUUUAAUGCUUAUCCCAAUGCUGGGUAUAUGAUUAUUUUGGAAGAAGAUUUAGACGUAUCUGUGGACAUAUUUAGUUAUUUUAAUCAAUUUUGCCUUUAAUGGAUACAGAUGAAAGUCUGUACUGUAUAUCGGCGUGGAAUGAUCAGGUUGGCAGAGCCGUUGGAUCACAGUAAAAUCCUUGCAAGAACGAGAAAGACUUUGUUCCAGAAACAUCUGAUAAAACAUAUAUAUUUUAUAUUGAAAUGAAACAUGCUAACGACUGGACAACAUGGAAUAAUAUAGCGAGAUGUUUACGAAUCUGGGACUUAGAUGCUCGAGGAUUUCAUAAAAGCAUGUGGAGAUUAUGGUUAAAGGGUAAUCACGUGUUAAUUGUUGGAUCACCGGCUUCACCUUACGCCAAACAUAAACCAAUUAACUUAAAACCUAUUUUCAUUCCUAAAAAAAUCGGAGACUGCGUGAUCAUCUUUGAUUAGAGAUAUCAUUCGUUUAUCAUGCGGGAUUUAAGCUAAAUGAAUGUGGGGAAAUCUUGAAGUUUAAAAAACUUUAAUGUAAAUGUGAUUGGAAAAAUUUUCAUCAUGGUUUGAUCAAGGAAAUGAACUCGUUGAACAAGGAAUAUAAGAGGAAAAAGAUAACUUUCAAUUUGUUCAGUUUUACUGUUAAUAAUGUAAUUUUAAGGAUUACAACCACGGAAAAGAAACAAUCGCGCUUUUCCCACAAAACAUUUACCGCAUUUGAAAGUCCUGCUAUCGUUACAUCGCUAAAGAUAAUUAUUUGAAAACGAACUUACCUCUCAUUCUUUCCCUUUGUCCCAUCCUAUUAGGAUUGCUAAAAUGAAUCACUUGCUACCAUUUAGUUCUGUCAAUAAAAUUCUCUCGUUAAAUUAUUACAUUACAUUUUACAAUGGCAAGUCAUAUUAUUGCAAUAAGCAGGGCUCCAAUGUUCAUAAUAAGUAUUGAGCACGACAAAAGCUUUUCUAUAACAUGUGGGUGAUUCCCACGUGAAUAAAUUACAAGCUUUUGAUAUGCCUUCUAAUUUAUUUGUUGACGUAACAAGUUGAAUAAAGGUGGUCAGGUGGGAGAAAAAUGAUAACUCUCCUAGCUAUGGUGCAUUGAAUUGCGGUUUUGGGUGAGAUAAUUUUUUGUUCAUACUAGAUAAAAUUUACCACAACACGACAUGCUCUGUCUGCCGUCAUAACCUUACAAUCAUUGAUUUCGCAAACUCUUCAUUGAGGAAACAAAAGAAGUAUUCUUUUGUUUUCUCCAAACCUCUGGGGAAAAGGCUUUGCUUUCUUUUACUAACCAAUGUCGUUAGUUAACUUAUAACCAGGCUUAAUUCCUUUUGUCUUUGCCCUGCAUAUAUUUUCAUGCAAUCAAUGAAUUUAAUCCCUUUUUAUCAUGGUUUGAACAAAAUUGACGAAUGAAUUAAUAAUUAAUUCAUGUGAUAUAUGAAAGUUAUCAGAAGAAAAAGUAGGGUCUUUCACUUCGAUAACCCUAUUUGACCGAGCUGUUCGUCUGGGAAAGGUGAAAGUCUGUUGGAAGUCGAAGACAGCCUUCAAGAAAUGCGACUAAUUGUUGGAAAGGACGAGCAACUGAAGACAUGACACGGUUGAGAUAUUUUAGCCAUGUUUGAAAGCGGCAGGUUAAAUACAGAAAAAUCGUCGAUGACAUAAAGAUCAUAUUCAAAGCAUCGUUAUGAGUCCUAUUUGUUCGAAGGAAUGAUCGAUUUCUUUGGUUUCUUAGUAUUUCUAUGUUUCGAUCUUGGAGCACAAAAAUGCCGUCAAGUUUCAGUUACAUAUUGAAGUGAGAACACGAACGAAACUGCCAAAAGUUUCCCACUAUUCUUGACAUCAAUUAUUGGACCUCUUCAAUACAUGUCCAGAAAAUAUUUUCA